AGAGUUUGAUCAUGGCUCAGAUUGAACGCUGGCGGCAUGCCUUACACAUGCAAGUCGAACGGUAACAGGUCUUCGGAUGCUGACGAGUGGCGAACGGGUGAGUAAUACAUCGGAACGUGCCCGAUCGUGGGGGAUAACGAGGCGAAAGCUUUGCUAAUACCGCAUACGAUCUACGGAUGAAAGCGGGGGAUCUUCGGACCUCGCGCGGACGGAGCGGCCGAUGGCAGAUUAGGUAGUUGGUGGGAUAAAAGCUUACCAAGCCGACGAUCUGUAGCUGGUCUGAGAGGAUGAUCAGCCACACUGGGACUGAGACACGGCCCAGACCCCUACGGGAGGCAGCAGUGGGGAAUUUUGGACAAUGGGCGAAAGCCUGAUCCAGCCAUGCCGCGUGCAGGAUGAAGGCCUUCGGGUUGUAAACUGCUUUUGUACGGAACGAAAAGCCUCUUUCUAAUAAAGAGGGGUCAUGACGGUACCGUAAGAAUAAGCACCGGCUAACUACGUGCCAGCAGCCGCGGUAAUACGUAGGGUGCAAGCGUUAAUCGGAAUUACUGGGCGUAAAGCGUGCGCAGGCGGUUCGGAAAGAAAGAUGUGAAAUCCCAGAGCUUAACUUUGGAACUGCAUUUUUAACUACCGGGCUAGAGUGUGUCAGAGGGAGGUGGAAUUCCGCGUGUAGCAGUGAAAUGCGUAGAUAUGCNGAGGAACACCGAUGGCGAAGGCAGCCUCCUGGGAUAACACUGACGCUCAUGCACGAAAGCGUGGGGAGCAAACAGGGAUUAGAUACCCCUGGGUAGUCCACGCCCUAAACGAUGUCAACUAGCUGUUGGGGCCUUCGGGCCUUGGUAGCGCAGCUNACCCNUGAAGUUGACCGCCCUGGGGGAGUACGGUCCGCAAGAUUAAAACUCNAGAGGAUUGGACGGGGGACCCCGCA
rnacentral:rRNA from 1 species